rnacentral:misc_RNA from 1 species
GUGAAAAAUCACAAACUAUCCAUGAGAAAUCAUCCUUAUUUAUUGAAUUUAAAUUAUCCAGUUAAAAUUUAUUAUUAAUCAUUAUUAAAUUUUAAAAGGUGGUGAUUCCAUAAAUAAUUAAAUCCCAUUGUUCAGUUUAAAUUUUUAGAUUGAAAUUCAAAUUCAAUAAAGAAAAACCAAUUUAAUAUUUCCAUAAAGAAAACAAAUAACGAGAGAAAAAAUAAAUAUUCAACCCAGAACAAGAAAAAUUCAAAACAAUGCAAAUUAAAUUACAAUUUGAUCUGCCAGAUUCACACUUACAUAAAAGACUAUCACAACUUUUCAUUUUCUCGCUUAGAACUUUGUUUGCAGGUGAUUAACGACCUUAGUAUCCAUCUGGAAAGCCUUUGCAAGAAUGUCACUGGGGAUAGACGGUGUAGAACCAAACACUGCAUUGGCAAUGGUAAUGACCCCAGGAUUUUGGCUGCUCAGAGCUACAAUAGCAACAGCAUUGUCAGUCCCUACAUUUCUCUGGAAGUGAAUGAGAUUGACAGGGAAGACGAAUACUUCACCCUUAUGUAAAACCUUUUGGAUGAGACGGUUUUCAGGGUUAGAUGUGAUGAAUCCAACUUCAAGACUGCCUUCCACUACUGUCAAGAUUUCAGAGGCACGGGGGUGUGUGUGGGGAGGGUUAAUACCGCAUGGUGCAUAGUCGAUACGAGCAAGAGAGAUGCCAAGAGUGUUAAGUCCUGGUAUUUGGGCUACAUUGACUGGUGUAACCUUAGACCCUACUGCAUUUGAAGUAUCUCCUGGCAAGUGAAGUCCAGUGAAAAAGAAAUCAUUGGCUUCAACCAUCUUGGGAUCCUUGCAAGCAACACCAUUCACUAGAACUGUAGCAUUUGCAUCAGCCACACAGAAAUCUUGAAGUGGCAUUGGAUCAGAAGCCAGAGCAAAGGAGGAAAGAGCUAGAAAUAGCCCUAAGAAAAGAAAGAAAUUACAAGCCAUUUCAAAAUCUUUUAUGCAUCUCAAGACUAAUAUUUGAGAACUUGAUUGAAGUUUGAGCUGUGGGGAGAAAACAUUCAGAUGUUGGCUUCUAUAUAUGUAUAGGAUGUAAAGGUUAAUAUACUUAAAGAGAAAUCUGAUAAGGAUAUAAUAUGCCGUUCUAUAGGAUAAUUGCUCUUCAAAAGCAAGUUAGGACUGGGUUGCUGCAGCUGCUAGCUGCAAUUUGCUUACUUUAGCAUGUAAAAUAUGUCCCAUGAAAUAUCAUGCCGUGCCGGCACUAAAAUUGUUUAACAUUUGUGUCCUAGCUAUAUUUAGCCUAGAAGAAGCUCAAGUGCAUGAAGAUGUGG